GAGGAAUAUUGGUCAAUGGACGAGAGUCUGAACCAGCCAAGUAGCGUGAAGGAUGAAGGUCCUACGGAUUGUAAACUUCUUUUAUAAGGGAAUAAAACCUUCCACGUGUGGGAGCUUGUAUGUACCUUAUGAAUAAGCAUCGGCUAACUCCGUGCCAGCAGCCGCGGUAAUACGGAGGAUGCGAGCGUUAUCCGGAUUUAUUGGGUUUAAAGGGAGCGCAGACGGGUCGUUAAGUCAGCUGUGAAAGUUUGGGGCUCAACCUUAAAAUUGCAGUUGAUACUGGCGUCCUUGAGUGCGGUUGAGGUGUGCGGAAUUCGUGGUGUAGCGGUGAAAUGCUUAGAUAUCACGAAGAACUCCGAUUGCGAAGGCAGCACACUAAGCCGUAACUGACGUUCAUGCUCGAAAGUGUGGGUAUCAAAC
rnacentral:rRNA from 1 species